CCGUGGAACUUGCUGGGAGCUGCCUCAGUGGCCAAGCAGCAGGGAGGGGCUCUCCUCUCCUGCAACUGAAGUUUGGUGGGCCGCAGUUUGACGAAUGUCUGCUGCGCGAUUUUGAGUUACAAACUUACACUUUGGCUACAAUUACCCCUGGUUAGCCGUUGUGUGUGAACCCAGCCUAAGUGUCAACAGAGAAGGAAGCAAGAGGCUGUGAAUGCUGGAGACAGGAUGCUGGCCUGGAAUGCUAUUCGUUUGAGACUACGAAGAAUACUGGAGGAUACGUGUUUGGCUCAGCUCAUCAGUUUUGUUAUGAUGCACAACCAGUGGUUCCAUCGGUGAAUUGUACACCCCCUUCAAGAGACACAUCCAGACACUUCAGGCCUAAAUAAGCAUCACUAGAUGCAGAUACAUAUCUAAGCCAGCUUCCAUGCACAGAUCUUUCUUUGCUAAAUCAUGAUACCUGUAUUUUAACCCACUUGUUAUUAAGUUCCCAUGCUUGCUUAUAUAACACUUUAUUUACACCAUGUAUGGCUUGUUUUACAACUGGCAGUGUAAUCCUGCCUUGUGAGAAAUCUUUAACUUUCCAUAUAAAUGA